GAUGAACGCUGGCGGCGUGCUUAACACAUGCAAGUCGAACGAAGCACUUACGACAGAAUCCUUCGGGAGGAAGAUGUAAAUGACUGAGUGGCGGACGGGUGAGUAACGCGUGGGUAACCUGCCCUAUACAGGGGGAUAACAGUUAGAAAUGACUGCUAAUACCGCAUAACCCGCUAGUAUCGCAUGAUACAGACGGAAAAGAUUUAUUGGUAUAGGAUGGGCCCGCGUCUGAUUAGCUAGUUGGUAAGGUAACGGCUUACCAAGGCAACGAUCAGUAGCCGGCUUGAGAGAGUGAACGGCCACAUUGGGACUGAGACACGGCCCAAACUCCUACGGGAGGCAGCAGUGGGGAAUAUUGCACAAUGGGGGAAACCCUGAUGCAGCGACGCCGCGUGAGUGAAGAAGUAUUUCGGUAUGUAAAGCUCUAUCAGCAGGGAAGAAAAUGACGGUACCUGACUAAGAAGCCCCGGCUAACUACGUG
rnacentral:rRNA from 1 species